CAGCAGCCACGGUAAUACGAACCGUGCGAACGUUAUUCGGAAUCACUGGGCUUAAAGCGCGUGUAGGCGGGCCGCCACGUCGGCUGCUGAAAUCCCCCGGCCCAACCGGGGAAGUGGCACCGAUACGAGCGGCCUCGAGGGGGGUAGGGGGCACUGGAACUUCCGGUGGAGCGGUGAAGUGCGUUGAGAUCGGAAGGAACGCCCGUGGCGAAAGCGAGUGCCUGGACCCUUUCUGACGCUGAGACGCGAAAGCCAGGGGAGCGAACGGGAUUAGAUACCCCCGUAGUCCCUGUCUCUUUAC
rnacentral:rRNA from 1 species